rnacentral:rRNA from 1 species
UACGUAGGUCCCGAGCGUUGUCCGGAUUUAUUGGGCGUGAAGCGAGCGCAGGUGGUUUAUUAAGUCUGGUGUAAAAGGCAGUGGCUCAACCAUUGUAUGCAUUGGAAACUGGUAGACUUGAGUGCAGGAGAGGAGAGUGGAAUUCCAUGUAUAGCGGUGAAAUGCGUAGAUAUAUGGAGGAACACCGGUGGCGAAAGCGGCUCUCUGGCCUGUAACUGACACUGAGGCUCGAAAGCGUGGGGAGCAAACAGG